CCCCAGCAGAUGCGGUCCCUGGGACUCCUCGCCCCACGGGGGUGCGGGCACCUGGGGCACCUUCGGGCGCUGCUACCAGGUGACAGAGGUGACCAGUGGCCGGGUCUACGCGGCCAAGGUCAUCCCGCGAGCCCGGCUCGCCACUCUGGGCAUCGGGGACAGGGUGGAGCGGGAGCGGGAGCUGCAGUGUCACCUGCGCCACCGGCACAUCGUGCGCCUGCACGGGCACUUCACCGACCGCGGCCACCUCUACCUGCUGCUGGAGCUCUGCAGCCGGGGGUCCCUCGCCGACAUCCUGCGGGCGCGGGGCCGCCUCACGGAGCCGGAGGUCCGGUACUACCUGCGGCAGCUCCUCUCGGGGCUGCGGUACCUGCACGGACACGGCCUCGUGCACCGGGACCUCAAACUGAGCAACUUCUUGGUGACGGAGCGGAUGCGGGUGAAGAUCGGGGACCUGGGGCUGGCACAGCGGGCGGCACCGGCCGGGCGGCGCUGGGGGUGAGCGGGGAUAGGGGUGGCUGCAGAGAGGGGGUUUCACUCUGCCCGUGUCCCCGGGGGUCACCUCUCCUGUCCCCGCCUCAGGGCACUCUGUGGGACACCCAAUUACCUGGCCCCGGAGGUGCUGGACCGCAGGGGACACGCGGUGCCCUCGGACAUCUGGGCCCUGGGCUGUGCGGUGUGAGCGGGGGCGGCGGGGGGGCUGCAGGGAGGAUGAGGGGGCUGGACAGAGGGCGAAGGGAGAUGGAGGGAGGAUGA
rnacentral:lncRNA from 1 species